UGGGGAAUAUUGGACAAUGGGCGCAAGCCUGAUCCAGCAAUGCCGCGUGUGUGAAGAAGGCCUUCGGGUUGUAAAGCACUUUUAUCAGGAGCGAAACGCUGUCGGCUAAUACCCGGCGGAACUGACGGUACCUGAGGAAUAAGCACCGGCUAACUUCGUGCCAGCAGCCGCGGUAAUACGAAGGGUGCAAGCGUUAAUCGGAAUUACUGGGCGUAAAGCGUGCGUAGGCGGUUUCUUAAGUCUGCUGUGAAAUCCCCGGGCUCAACCUGGGAAUGGCAGUGGAUACUGGGAGGCUAGAGUGUGUCAGAGGGUGGUGGAAUUCCCGGUGUAGCGGUGAAAUGCGUAGAGAUCGGGAGGAACAUCAGUGGCGAAGGCGGCCACCUGGGACAACACUGACGCUGAGGCACGAAAGCGUGGGGAGCAAACAGGAUUAGAUACCCUGGUAGUCCACGCCCUAAACGAUGCGAACUGGAUGUUGGUCUCAACUCGGGGAUCAGUGUCGAAGCUAACGCGUUAAGUUCGCCGCCUGGGAAGUACGGUCGCAAGACUGAAACUCAAAUGAAUUGACGGGGUCAUAGCUGUUUCCUG
rnacentral:rRNA from 1 species